rnacentral:lncRNA from 1 species
GAAGAGCAAGAUGUCCCGUAAACCAGCCGGCAAGCACUUCCACCCGCGGCCAACAAGCAAUUUCCCGCGGUCAGGAGCAUCCCGACCGCGGCAAACCACUCAUUCCCCAUGGUCAGAGCACUCCCGACCGCGGCCAUCAACCUCCGAGCCCAAAAAGCCCAUUUCUGAAGCCCACAUUUAGAGAAACCCUAAGUGACGUCCAGAGAGGUCUUGAGCACUAUAAAUACAUGUCUUAGGAACCCUAAAUGGUGAAAAAACCGAA